UGGUCCUGACCUUGAAAUCAAUUGUUACUUAAUUUAUACAUGCAAGUCUCUGCGCCCCUGUGAGAACGCCCUCAAUUUCCUGUCAGGAAAAAGGAGCCGGUAUCAGGCACAAUUUUUAGCCCAAGACACCUAGUUUGACCACACCCACAAGGGUACUCAGCAGUAAUUAACAUUGAGCAUAAGCGGCAGCUUGACUCAGUUAAAGUAAGCAGGGUCGGCAAAUCUGGUGCCAGCCGCCGCGGUUACACCAUGAGACCCAAACUGAUUUCUUUCGGCGUAAAGCGUGAUUAAAGUGCUAGUAAAAUUAUAGUUAUACCACAAUUAAGCUGUGACACGCUUAUUCCUGGGAAACCCAUAAACGAAAGUUACUAUAUUUAUUCUGACUUGAACCCACGACAGCUAGGGAACAAACUGGGAUUAGACACCCCACUAUGCCUAGCCGUAAACCUUAAAUUACACCCGUAUCGCCAGGGAACUACAAGCCAAGCUUAAAACCCAAAGGACUUGACGGUACCCCACAUCCACCUAGAGGAGCCUGUCCUAUAAUCGAUAACCCCCGCUUAACCUCACCAUUUUUAGCAUAUCAGCCUGUAUACCUCCGUCGUCAGCUUACCUCGUGAGUGACCCUCAGUGAGCUUAAUGUCCUAACGUCAAUACGUCAGGUCAAGGUGCAGUAAAUAAAAUGGGAAGAGAUGGGCUACACUCUCUAACUUAGAGAACACGAAAAAUUACUCAUGAAAUUUAAUUAGAAGGCGGAUUUAGAAGUAAAAAGAGACCAUUAAGCUCUUUUUAACACGGCACUGGGGUGUGUACACACCGCCCGUCACCCUCUUCAAAGCCAAAAGAUAUGUAACUAACACGAAAUAGCUAAAUAGAAGAGGCAAGUCGUAACAUGGUAAGUAUACCGGAAGGUGUGCUUGGA
rnacentral:ncRNA from 1 species